UCCCAGGUGUCUCAGUGGUAAAGAAUCUGCCUGCCAAGCAGGAGAUGCAGGUUCGAUCCUCGCAUCAGGAA
rfam:TPA: Bos taurus chromosome 16, whole genome shotgun sequence.